AGUUCUCGGGGCCAGGGGAGCCUGCACGGAAGAGGCUGUGCGCAUGAGCCGAUGAGGCCUAGCCUAGGCGGCGGGACCCCCAAGUUUGGAAAGCUCUAUUAACGAUAGUAACUGUCCCUACUGAAGGUCCCAGGAGUGCUCCAGCCAGGUGUGGAAAGCUGGUCACGAUUCUAUGCUACUUGGUUCAUUUUCUCCACAGCAACAGAAGAGCCCUCCUGAGAUUGCUAUUACCAUACCUGCCUGUCAGCUUGCCAAGGCUGGCCAAUGGCGAAAGAGUGUCUGCUGGGUAUUCUUCAUCAUAUGACAAGGACAAGAGUGUUCUGGCUUUCAGAGGAAUCCCUAUCUCAGAGUUGAAGAACCAUGGCAUUCUCCAGGCUCUGACCACAGAAGCUAAUGAAUGGGAGCCACGUGUUGUGAGUACAGAGGUGGUCAGAGCCCAAGAAGCAUGGGAAGCUGUGGACACCAUCCAGCCAGAGACAGGGAGCCAAGCUAGCUCAGAGCAGCCUGGGCAGCUAAUCUCCUUCAGUGAGGCCCUGCAGCACUUCCAGACUGUGGACCUUUCCUCCUUCAAGAAAAGAAUCCAGCCAACUAUUCGAAGGACUGGGCUCGCCGCCCUCCGACACUACCUCUUCGGGCCUCCAAAGCUCCACCAGCGCCUUCGGGAAGAAAGGGACUUGGUCCUGACCAUUGCUCAGUGUGGCCUGGAUAGCCAAGACCCAGUGCAUGGCCGAGUCCUCCAGACCAUCUAUAAGAAGCUGACCGGCUCCAAGUUUGACUGUGCCCUUCAUGGAGACCACUGGGAGGACCUGGGCUUUCAGGGAGCGAAUCCAGCCACAGACCUGAGAGGCGCAGGCUUCCUUGCCCUCCUGCAUCUCCUCUACCUGGUGAUGGACUCAAAGACCUUGCUGAUGGCACAGGAGAUUUUCCGCCUGUCUCGUCACCACAUCCAGCAAUUUCCUUUCUGUUUGAUGUCUGUGAACAUCACCCACAUCGCCAUCCAGGCCUUGAGAGAGGAGUGUCUCUCCAGAGAGUGUAAUCGGCAGCAGAAGGUCAUCCCCGUGGUGAACAGCUUCUAUGCCGCCACAUUCCUCCACCUCGCACAUGUCUGGAGGACACAGCAGAAGACCAUCUCAGACUCAGGCUUUGUCCUCAAAGAGUUGGAAGUAUUGGCCAAGAAGAGCCCACGGCGGCUGCUCAAGACCCUGGAGCUGUACUUGGCCAGGGUGUCAAAGGGACAGGCCUCCUUGUUGGGUGCACAGAAGUGCUAUGGGCCAGAAGCCCCUCCCUUCAAGGAUCUCACCUUCACAGGUGAGAGUGACCUUCAGUCUCACUCAUCCGAAGGCAUAUGGCUGAUCUGACCUCCGAGAUGAAUGGAGGCUUAAAGGCUGAGCUGCAGGGGCUUUCAGAGGGUCAGUGGAGCCAUGUCAGGAGCCUGGCCAGGCCGCACCCCUUGCUGUCUCAGCAGAUGGGAUAUAGGAAGCUCCUGGGCUUAGCUGUGGGAAGCCAAGUACCCUCACCGGCGUGGGACAUGAGGGGCAGCUAGACUUCACCCCCUUCCCGCAGGCCUGCCUCCAGAGCAAGGAGAAUUCUGUCCUAAUCUGUUGGGCUCCAGUCUCUGGGUUGAAUUCCAGUGUAUCCCACUGGGAGUGAAUGGAUCAUGAGGUGGGAUGGCCCCAUCUGGAUGUUCUGCAGAUCCCCACAUGGGAGGAGAUUCCCAAGUAGAGGCAGCCAGAAUUCUGACUCGCUGGCAGCAGCGGGGCUUUCAGGCACCGGUGUCUGUGUUGUUAGAACUCAAAGGAAGAGGGCAGGGGCAGCAGCCGACAGCGGGCAGCAUGACCCAAGCAAGGGGCCUGAGGCCUCAGUGGGGGUGGGGCAAGGAGGUGCCUCACAGGUGGGUGUCAGGCCCCCUCUGGAGUUUCUGGCCAUUCACUUACCCACUCUCUUCUCCCCUUGACCCCUGCUCCAUUGUUUAUGAUGGAAAAUGGACAUUUGGCUAGGUGUCUCUCACGGCUGCUCCAUCCUAGCCCCCACAAGCUGGGGCUUCCUCCUGUAGAUGCUGUGCACGCCCCGUGAUGGGUUUCUGGCCUAAUUGAGGGAAGGAGGAAAUUCAUACCAGCAGUUUUCAAAUAAAAGAAUUGUUCUAAUUAA
rnacentral:sRNA from 1 species